rnacentral:rRNA from 2 species
UUUAUAUGAGAGUUUGAUCCUGGCUCAGGAUGAACGCUGGCGGCGUGCCUAAUACAUGCAAGUCGAACGAGUUCUCGUUGAUGAUCGGUGCUUGCACCGAGAUUCAACAUGGAACGAGUGGCGGACGGGUGAGUAACACGUGGGUAACCUGCCCUUAAGUGGGGGAUAACAUUUGGAAACAGAUGCUAAUACCGCAUAGAUCCAAGAACCGCAUGGUUCUUGGCUGAAAGAUGGCGUAAGCUAUCGCUUUUGGAUGGACCCGCGGCGUAUUAGCUAGUUGGUGAGGUAAUGGCUCACCAAGGCGAUGAUACGUAGCCGAACUGAGAGGUUGAUCGGCCACAUUGGGACUGAGACACGGCCC